UACGGAGGGUGCGAGCGUUGUCCGGAAUCACUGGGCGUAAAGGGCGCGUAGGCGGCCUGAUAAGUAGGGGGUGAAAUCUUGCGGCUUAACCGCAAGGCUGCCUUCUAAACUGUCAGGCUCGAGCACAGUAGAGGCAGGUGGAAUUCCCGGUGUAGCGGUGGAAUGCGUAGAGAUCGGGAAGAACAUCAGUGGCGAAAGCGGCUUCCUGGACCAGCACCGACGUUCAGGCACGAAAGCGUGGGGAGCAAACAGG
rnacentral:rRNA from 1 species